rnacentral:rRNA from 1 species
GCUUGCUUUCUUUGCUGGCGACCGGCGCACGGGUGAGUAACACGUAUCCAACCUACCCUUUACUCGGGGAUAGCCUUUCGAAAGAAAGAUUAAUACCCGAUAGCAUAAUGAUUCCGCAUGGUUUCAUUAUUAAAGGAUUCCGGUAAAGGAUGGGGAUGCGUUCCAUUAGGUUGUUGGUGGGGUAACGGCCCACCAAGCCUUCGGUGGAUAGGGGUUCUGAGAGGAAGGUCCCCCACAUUGGAACUGAGACACGGUCCAAACUCCUACGGGAGGCAGCAUG